rnacentral:tRNA from 1 species
GGGGCUGUGGCUCAGUGGUAGAGCACUUGCCUAGCAUGUAUGAGGCCCUGGGUUCAAGUCUCAGCACCACA